rnacentral:lncRNA from 1 species
AGCCUGCAAACCUUUGUAAGUUAAUUGCCUGACUUAGAAACCACUAAUGUACAUGAGUAACAUUUACUCAUGCAGAUUGUCUUAGUGAAUUCAAAAUCCCUCAGAUGGGCGGUUGCAGAAUAAGGCUAUAAAUCAUAACUAUAUGGAAAGUCUAAGAAAUGUUAAUGGGAAGGCACCCACAAGAUACCAUCAAAAUUUAAAAAGGUUUUAUGAACAGUAUUUUAAAAGCAUAUAUAAUUAAAUGAAGGUACUGGUCAAUGUUUAAAAAUAAAGAAGAACUGGAAGUUGAGCCUAAUUUGCAUAUAUAUGUACAUAUUUUUAAAAACUCUAGAACAACCAUCAGUUCACAGUAGUAAUUUCUAUUCUAUGUGGUAACCAAAGCCACCAUGUCCAUGUUCCUUCACACCUAUUAACCAAAUUUCCUUCACACCUGUUACUUACACAUGCCUUUCUCCCCCAGGUUUUUAAUUUAUUUAUGCUGCAGUUUGGGGCUGAAGUAAAAUCAGUGCUGUGCAGACACCCAAGGCACGGAGGAGCCUGGCACCCUGCUUUUACAUGGCAAGCAAUGCUAGGACAAACACUGCUGGGACCUGGCUCAUUGCUGAGGCCAUGAUGGCCCACCAUGUUUUCAGCUGUUUCUCAUGUAUGUGAAGGGUUUAGGUACACUUAAUGGUGAUACUAACAAGCUCCUGGCCAAGCACAGUUUCUGUAUCAGGGAAAGUGACUUUUUUUUUUUUUUUUUUUUUUCCACCAUCAGGCAGCAGGUUAAGUGGUUAUUGCUCCACUUCUGGUGUAGUUUGGGUGCCUUUAGCUGGGUACAAUGACACCCUACACAUGGAGUACAUGCAGCUGUAAAGUAUAAAGCAAUUAUUUAUCCAUCAACACACAUGAAAUGUAGCUGAGAUUUAAUAAGCUGCUAGGGAAGUAGCAGCUUGAUGAAGCACCUGGGGGAAAAGGGGUUUUGGUCUUUAGGUAGGUAUCAGUUGGGAGGAAAGGUCUUAUCUCUCUGGUUCCAUGAAGUUGCUUCUUGGUGUUGUCAUCUUUCACCAUUUUUCUCAGCUCUGGUAACCCAACCUGUGCUGGUUCCUGUCCUUUCAAAAGGAAAUAGUGCCUCUGGAAGAGGUUCAGAGAAGGACAACAACAAACUGUAAAACUGUGGACUAGCAGAGGCCCUCAGCUGGGAAAAGAUGCCAGGUCAGGCAAUGUGAUGUACUCCUGCCAAAUAGAGGUUUUUGAGGGUGGA